rnacentral:rRNA from 1 species
UACGUAGGGUGCAAGCGUUGUUCGGAAUUACUGGGGCGUAAAGGGCGCGUAGGCGGCCUGCUAAGUCGAACGUGAAAUCCCCGGGCUCAACCCGGGAACUGCGUCCGAUACUGGCAGGCUUGAAUUCGGGAGAGGGAUGCGGAAUUCCAGGUGUAGCGGUGAAAUGCGUAGAUAUCUGGAGGAACACCGGUGGCGAAGGCGACUUACUGGACACAUAUUGACGCUGAGGUGCGAAAGCGAUGGGGAGCAAACGGGGAUUAAGAU